GCUUACGGCCAUACCAACCUGGCUAUGCCCGAUCUCGUCUGAUCUCGGAAGCUAAGCAGGUUUGGGCCUGGUUAAGUACUUGGAUUGGGAGACCGCCUGGGAAUACCAGGUGCUGUAGAGC
rnacentral:rRNA from 1 species